AUUGAACGCUGGCGGCAGGCCUAACACAUGCAAGUCGAGCGGAGCGGCGGACGGGUGAGUAAUGCCUAGGAAUCUGCCUGGUAGUGGGGGAUAACGUCCGGAAACGGGCGCUAAUACCGCAUACUCUCAGAAGAGCCUAGGUCGGAUUAGCGAGGUGGUUGGGUAACGGCUCACCAAGGCGACGAUCCCUAGCUGGUCUGAGAGGAGGACCAGGCACUGUGGAACUGAGACACGGGCCAUACUCCUACGGGAGGCAGCAGUGGGGAAUAGUGGACAUUGGGCGAAAGCCUGAUCCAGCCAUGCCGCGUGUGUGAAGAAGGGCUUCGGAUUGUAAAGCACUUUAAGUUGGGAGGCGUUACCAACAGAAUAAGCACCGGCUAACUUCGUGCCAGCAGCCGCGGUAAUAC
rnacentral:rRNA from 1 species